rnacentral:lncRNA from 10 species
GCAUUUCCUUAUUUUCCAGCACUAGACAUUCUAAGGCUCACCCUGUACUCUCUCUGCUCUUCCCUGGAAAUAGUCAUUUCUCCAAAGAGUUCUGUUCCCUUGGAAUAGAGAAUGGUAUUUACAAACCAAGAAAUGGAUUUCAGGUGUGCCAGUUGUUUCUGGGGUGGCAUUGCUUCUAGGCCCCUUCGGUGGACAGAGCUGGGAAAGAAACUGUGUGUAUCAUAUAUAUCUGCACACGUAAGCUGUGUGUGUAUCAUAUAUAAUACAUCUGCACAUAUAAACUAUCAUCUGUACAUAUAAACUGUAUAUCAUAUAUAUCUGCACAUAU